GAACGGGACUGGGGGCAACUCCAGUUCAGUGGCGGACGGGUGCGUAACACGUGAGGAACAUGACUUUCGGCGGGGGAUAGCCGGCCCAACGGCCGGGUAAUACCGCGUACGACCUCUCGGGGACAUCCCCGGUUGGUGAAAGCAGCAAUGCACCGAAAGAGUGCCUCGCGGCCUAUCAGCUAGUUGGUGAGGUAAUGGCUCACCAAGGCGACGACGGGUAGCUGGUCUGAGAGGAUGGCCAGCCACAUUGGGACUGAGACACGGCCCAGACUCCUACGGGAGGCAGCAGUGGGGAAUAUUGCGCAAUGGGCGAAAGCCUGACGCAGCGACGCCGCGUGUGGGAUGACGGCCUUCGGGUUGUAAACCACUGUCGGGAGGGACGAAUGCGCCGCAAGGCGAGUGACGGUACCUCCAAAGGAAGCACCGGCUAACUCCGUGCCAGCAGCCGCGGUAAUACGGAGGGUGCGAGCGUUGUCCGGAAUCACUGGGCGUAAAGGGCGCGUAGGCGGCCUGGUAAGUAGGGGGUGAAAUCCUGCGGCUUAACCGCAGGGCUGCCUUCUAAACUGUCAGGCUCGAGCACGGUAGAGGCAGAUGGAAUUCCCGGUGUAGCGGUGGAAUGCGUAGAGAUCGGGAAGAACAUCAGUGGCGAAGGCGGUCUGCUGGGCCGUUGCUGACGCUGAGGCGCGACAGCGUGGGGAGCAAACAGGAUUAGAUACCCUGUAGUCCACGCCGUAAACGAUGGGCACUAGCGUCGGGGGAGCGACCCUCCCGGUGCCGUCGCUAACGCAGUAAGUGCCCCGCCUGGGGAGUACGGCCGCAAGGUGAAACUCAAAGGAUGACGGGGGCCCGCACAGCGGUGGAGCAUGUGGUUUAAUUCAACGCGAAUACUUGACAUGCACGGAACGGAAUCGCCCAUCGCACUGCAGCGUCAGUUAGUAUCCAACUUCCUUCGAAACAA
rnacentral:rRNA from 1 species